UUUAACCUGGUGCUGUACUUGUCUAAUGACACGACGCUGGACACAGCACGCGACACCCAGCUCACCGUACAGGACUACACUACCGGCAGCCACCAGGCACAAGUACUGGAGAACGGAAGAGCGUACCAAACUGGGCUACUCAGAGGUCUGGUGCACGUUCCAUCCUCUCUGUGUGACCCUCGGUCCCGUCCCUAUCUGUUUGUGCUCAUCCGCCCGUCAGCAAGCCUGUUGGCAGGGUCAGAUCUGACCAAUGACCAGGCUGGCAUCCCCAUCAACGUCUACUGUAACUCAGAUUAUGUAGAUCUGGAAGUGUCUGACUUCCGGCUGGUGGAAGACAACGUGCUCCAGUCUGGGGUUGCGAAGACGUUCUCCCUGGAGGUGAGGAUCAGCAGCUCAGGCAGUGCCGCCAUCCCUCGUGUGGGUCGGCAGUACCCGGAGAGAACCAGCUGGGACUACAGGUUCUACCUGUCACACGACAGCAACA